GACCCAGUAGCCGAUGGUUCGCGCCCGCGUCGUGUGCUGAUAUACACUGGUCGCAUCAGCGGGAGUCCCUGGUUCGACUCCAGGCUGGGUCA